UAUGAUGAUGAUGAUUAUUGCAAUGUGAAUAUACCUUCUUCAUGUCUCUAUUAUUAUUCACAAAAACAGAACAGAACAGAGAAGUGAAGUGAAGUACUAAACAGAACAGAACAGAGACAAAGGUGUUUGAUAUUUUUUUAUGAGUUUCUUCUUCUCUUCUCUUCUCACACCCUUUUUUUUUAUAAAUAUAAUUAUGAAAAUGAAUAAAGAAUAAACAAGUUCUUCUUCAACUGGUCCUCAUUGCUUCCCUUCUUCAGAGAGAGAGAGAGAGAGAGAGAAGGGUUGUAUUGAUUUUGUG
rnacentral:lncRNA from 1 species